rnacentral:rRNA from 1 species
CCUACGGGGGGCAGCAGUGGGGGAUAUUGGACAAUGGGGGGAACCCUGAUCCAGCGACGCCGCGUGAGUGAAGAAGUAUCUCGGUACGUAAAGCUCUAUCAGCAGGGAAGAAGAAAUGACGGUACCUGAGAAAGAAGCCCCGGCUAACUACGUGCCAGCAGCCGCGGUAAUACGUAGGGGGCAAGCGUUAUCCGGAAUUACUGGGGGUAAAGGGAGCGUAGACGGUGAUGUAAGUCUGGAGUGAAAGGCGGGGUCCCAACCCCCGGACUGCUCUGGAAACUAUGUGACUGGAGUGCAGGAGAGGUGAGCGGAAUUCCUAGUGUAGCGGUGAAAUGCGUAGAUAUUAGGAGGAACACCAGUGGCGAAGGCGGCUCACUGGACUGUAACUGACGUUGAGGCUCGAAAGCGUGGGGAGCAAACAGGAUUAGAUACCCCUGUAGUC